UACGUAGGGUGCGAGCGUUGUCCGGAAUUAUUGGGCGUAAAGAGCUCGUAGGCGGUGUGUCGCGUCGGCCGUGAAAACCUGCAGCUUAACUGUGGGCUUGCGGUCGAUACGGGCAUCACUGGAGUUCGGCAGGGGAGACUGGAAUUCCUGGUGUAGCGGUGAAAUGCGCAGAUAUCAGGAGGAACACCGGUGGCGAAGGCGGGGUCUCUGGGGCC
rnacentral:rRNA from 1 species